UUCUGUUCUGAAAUGUCAUUUGGGUGGUGGCUUGUAAUUGUUCUGCCAGGCCCUGUAGGGCAUCCCUAGUGUAAUUAACAAAUCGCUGUUGAUUAUAAUAAAUGUAAUUGAUCCAAUUGACAUUCUUGUUAGCAGUUAUCAUUGGAAUCAAGGAUUCAAAUCCUGCUGCCACCUCAUCCCUUGCUUUGAAUUCACUAGGCACCCCC